rnacentral:lncRNA from 1 species
AGUGAGAUCUGGUCUCUAAAUUUAAAAAAAACAACAAUAACAAAAGAAAAAAUUAAAAAAAAAAGCCAUCAAAACUACUUAUAAUCCUGUCACCCCACGGAAGCUAUUAAUAAUAUCUUUUAUAUGUUCCGACUUUUCUAUGUUUCUCAGAAAUGUGUAAAUGUUACAUAGUAUCCAUGUAUAUCAGUAUUCUAUCAAAUGGGAUAGUUCUCUGCAUUAUGUUUGGAACUUAUUUUUCUCUCUUGCUAACACAUUAUAAUUACUUUUCCAUAUUACCAAAUAUUCUUUGACAACAUAAUUUUUAAUGGCUGCAGUGUUCUAUUGAGGAAUACAUAAGAGCUAAUUUAACCAAUCCCCUACUUUGGGGUGCUGAAGAGUUUCCAACGUUGGCGAGAACUUCGUGGCCCUGAACAUUCUUGUAGCUAGAACCUCACACCAGGCCGCCCUAUGACUUCUUUAGGAUUAACUGAGGACUAAUGCAACUUCCAGAAUUUCUAAGGCUUAAUCUAUGUUCCUAAAUUGCUCUCAGCAAAAGAAAUUCAUUUUAAACUGGAGUGUCUGGCUAACCAGAACAUGCUAUCCUGUGAAUGUGUGGCCGCUUAAAGAGUCUACCUUGUGCUGCCAACUCCAUGACCACCAACUGCCUGGCUCUAGCACAGGCCUGUGCCCAGAAGAGCACUGUCUGUUCUUUGGUACCCUCCCCACAGCCAGGGCGCCGGGAGACCUGCUUCCCCUGGGGACAGGCCAGUGCCUCUGACUCAGCCCUUUUGCAUCCUAGAAUCCUCCUGCAUGCUGGUGUCCUGGGAAUAAAAACUGAUAAUAUAAAUAAUAAUAGCAAGUAAUAUAGCGCUUCCUUGGUGUCAGCCACUGUUCUAAGCACCUUAUCUGUAUCAACUCCUUUAAUUUUUGCAACAACCUUAAAUAAUAAUAGUAAAAUAAUAAUAUAAGCAGGCAUUUUCAUUAUUGUCAUUUUGUAGAUAGGAAACCCGAAGUUCAGAGAGGUUAAGUGCUGUAUCCAAGGUCACACAGCUUGGAAGUGACUGGUGCAAAGAUUCAAAAGCAGGCAGACAGGUUCUGGAAUAUUGGGUGUUGGACUUAAGUCUCUACUCUGACAUUUCCUGGCACAUCUCUAAGUUUCUCUGAGCCUCAGUUUAUUCUUCUCUGAAAUGGGAAUGACGACACCUAUCUUACCGGGUUACCGUAGGAAGCAAAUGAAAGCGAGUCACAGAAUGGCUUUGGAAGUUGUAAAAGUACCAUGUGAAGGUAAACACUUGUGGUUUAUUUUGAUGUUUGGGGAAAAGACUGCUCCUCAGAAACUAGGUGCCUCUGUCUGCUCUGAAAAUAGGGUAUUGGGGUGAGGGAAGGGAGGAUCUCUGAGCAGGGAAAGCUCCAAGAUUUCCAAAAGAGGGGCCUGGAGGUGGGGUUAACCUCAUUUAAAGAGAGUGUUGCUAGGAGGAUCAUCUUGAAACUCAAUUUGCUUAUCAUUUGCCUACUUAGAUUGGGGCAGCUUAAGGAUUAUGAGUGAUUUUUAAUUUCUUAUUUUGCUUUCCUAACUACAUAUUUUAUCAUGAAGACAUUUUAUUUUUGUAAACUGAAAAAAGUAAUUAUUAUGAUUUUUAGAAAUACAUCCAGAGGCUAGGAGAAGUCAGAAACCCCUUGCAGACAUGCUUUUUUCAACAUGCCUCAGAGAAAUGUAGGUGGAACACUAUUGGCCCAGCUAAAGAAAGAAAGUGCUGUUUCCAGGGAAGGCAGAGUCCCUGGGACUAAGGAGAAGGGGUGGAAAUAAGGCCUUGGGGCUUUCCAGUCUCUAUCUUAGCCAGGGUCUGGCCCAGUGGCCCAUGAAGGGAACAUUUCUUGGCUGGUGGUUGCAGGAUGGGGGUAGGGGAAUCUGAGGCUUGCUGGAAAUUGUCUAGUCCAGCAUUUUCCAAACACUUCCUUGAAUGAGACACUCAUACGUGGUCAGAUAAGAUAGGGCUGCCUCUUAGAGAUUCAUAAACUACAUUAGUGACUUAAAGGCUCUGAUAAGUCCUGCAGUGAGAAGACCUGUUUAUAAUUUUGUUUUUACUGGCACCAUACAAGACCUUGAACUCUCCUGCUCCUGUUUCUAGAUGCCUAGUAACAGCUUGAAGUACAUUGGUAAAUUCUGAUCUUGUCUACCUCUUCAUAAGACCAACAGUAAAACUGAGGCUCCAGAGGCUGUGGGAUUUGCUCAGGGCCACACCGCCAGAAGUAGAUCCAGCCAUCCUGACUCAGAACCAGCCAGAGAGGCCUGACAUUGAAUGUCAGACACUGCCAGGGAGAAGUGGGUAAUCUCAGACGUGGAAAUUGAGACUGCAUGACUCACCCAAAGCCUCUGGAUUAGUAAGAUACUUAGCUGAGAUCUCAACAUGGAGCUGCCAGACCCCACCUGUUAUGAAGCACCUACAAAAGAGGAUGGUGAAAAACCCUCCAGGCUGGACAGAGGGUCUCCUAGAGGGACCACAGGGUGGAGUCGACCCUUGGACUUGGGCUAGAAGCAUCUAAGACCCUAAUUAAAACAAGGACAGAAGGAAUGGUGAUAAUCGGUCUGUUUACAGAGUGCCAGGCAAGCACUAUUAUUAGCUCCAUUUUAUAGACACUCCGCAUAUAUUAUCAUAGAUAGUCUGCAUAUGUUUAAUCUUUCCUACACCCUUACAGGACAGAUAUUAUUAUGGUCUCCAUUCUGCAAAUAGGAGAAAUGAGGCUCAGAGGGAUGAAGACUUUCUCGUCCACAUCCGCCAUGCUAGUGAACAGCAGUGCUGGGAUCUGAACCCAGGUUUCAAAGAGCAUCUAUUAUUCAUUAUUUAUUGGGGCCUUCCUGGAUGCCUGACACUAUAACAAUAACGACGACAAUAAUAAUACUAAUUCCUUGUGUUCCAGGUCAUAGAAUGUGAAAGGAAAAUAAAUCUUGGGGCCCCCAAAUCACUAAGCUAAAGGGAAAAGUCAAGCUGGGAACUGUUUAGGGCCAACCUACCCCCCAUUCUAUUCAAAGGCAGCCCUCUGCUCACUGACAUAGAUGCAUUAUCUGUUUGUCUCCUUUGGAAAGGCUAAUCAGAAACUCAAAAGAAUGCGACCAUUUGUCUCUCACCUACCUGUGACCUGGAAAACCCCUCCCUGCUUCAAGUUGUCCUGCAUUUCUAGAUCGAACCAAUGUACUUCUUACAUAUAUUGAUUGAUGUCUCAUGUCUCUCUAAAAUGUAUAAAAUUAAGCUGUGCCCAGACCACCUUGGGCAUGUGACAGGAGGACUUCCUGAGGCUGUGUCAUGGGAGUGUCCUCAACCUCGGCAAAAUAAACUUCCUAAAUGAACUGAGA